UUAGAGAGUUUGGACUUUAAU
rnacentral:piRNA from 1 species